GGAGGUGUGUUGUUGUGGCUGCUUUGUGUGGUCAGAGGUGAUGAGGGAAGAUUUGGGGACUAGCUGCUGGUGAGUCUUCACUGCUGAAGGUAAAUUUGGGGCUCUGAUUGCUGAAGGUAUUGCUGGAACAAGUGCAGAUCCAAUCCUCUGUAAGGUGUGUAGGUGAACUAAAUGUGACACUGUCUGGAUGCUUUUGAUGCAGCUCUUCAUGAGCAGAAACCCAUCAGGAGAAAAAUUCAGAAACUUCACCUAUGAGAGAAGCCUGAAAGUGGAGCUGAUGGAUGGUCAAGAAAGACAAAUUAUUCUGUCAUAAGUGGUGCAGUUGGGUCACAAGAAUCCUGGAGCUGAUUUAAAACCACAUGAUGGUUUAGAGGUGAUUUUCUCUUCUGGAGAAGAAAGUUUAAAUUUGGGUGAUGCUAGCCAGUAAAAUGCCUGAGCAGAGAGGUAAAAAUGAUGUUCGACUUCUCAUGAAUCUGAAGUGUGAAGCAAUGGGCAUAAAGAGACUAGAGAACCAGAAAUAGCAAGUGGAAGGAUGGAAUGAAGAACUGGACAACUGGAUGCUGAUGCUACAACACAUGUGGAAGCAGUGAAAUAAGAGGGAUCAGCAGAAGGAAGCCCUUCUUCUCACCCCUUGGUGAGUACAUCUUCCUAUUGCUUAUAUCAGCAGUAGGCUGGCUACUCUAAGGUUCUUUUGAGAUGUGGUAGCAUCAACUGUGUGUAGAUAAAGACCAAAACACCCAAGGUGUAUUGCUGCACCUACAGUUUCCAAUAAUCUCAGCUCUCAGUCGCCAGGCUAACAUCUCCAAACAGAUACUUGAAUUUAGGAGCAGAACUUUGUUGUCAGUGUGGGAUGAAUCACCACAGCUCAGCCUAUAGAGCUCUCAGGGAGCUUGCCAAGAUCUACAGGUAUUUGGGUUACCUGAUAACGUGCUGUCUUCAUUUCACCACCUAGGCAGCAGUGCAGAGGCAUAAUGUCAAAUACCAGGCUUCAGAAAUGUUAAGCCUCCCUUUAUAUUGUUUAAUUUACAGGCGAACAGCCCACCAUGCCAUUUUAAUUUGGAUGAUUUUUGGAAAAAAAAGAGAAGUCUGUGUUCUGCUAAUGAUCAUACUCGUUUAGCAAAAAUAGCUUUUUAAUAUAGGACAAUAGACUCUUGAGAGACUACAAUUAGCAUUGUUGAUAAACUGCUUGUGCUGCAAAGCGGGUCUCCAAAUGCAUACUCUUAAGGUACAAGGGAAACUGAAAUACAAGUACACAACAGUGCAAAAAUAAAGUCUUUAGAGCCAGAGCUGUAUUAUUUUUAGAUCAAAACAUCUUAUUAGGCUAUUAAAUAAAAGCUUUGCAUCUUGUCAGCAGCUGCUUUGGGCACGCAUAGAAAUGUUUCCAAGUAAUUUGUGGCCAGACAACACAUGCUGACUUUGUUCGGGGAUUUCAAAUUUCAAAUAUUUGUUAAAUGUCUACUUCUACGGCAAAUAAACAAAAUUUAGCAACCCACAUGAAGAACUGUUUAUAGAAAAUUAUUCUGGUAAAUGGUCUGUGUAUCUGAACUAUUUCAUGGCAACAACAACAUAUUUUCAUGGUUUGUAUUCAUGAUGACAGUUAUGUUGCAAAUUAUACUAUGAGUUUGGAUAAUAGCAUAUACUACUGUUAUGUGUGCUCAUUACUUCCACUUCUUCCUUCUAAUUUUUAUGCCUAUUGCCAAUUUCUAAAUAAUGGAUACUAGAGUAAAUCUUUUAGUAUUCUUUGCUUUGAUUCACAAAUCCCUACAUUUCCUAGUCCUCUAACUAGUAAAAACACACUACAGACGGACUUCUUUUUUUGCAGUUACAUUUUGCAUCUGCCUCCAGAGAUGUGCAAACCAUGUGUUGAAAUCCAGUGACCGUACUUUCUAAUGCAUCUCUAAUGAAAAGGAGUCAAAUUAUAAAUAAUGCACUUAAAGAAAGCUCUGUCUCUAGGGUCCCAUUUCUCUUGCAGUGGUAACAGGCCAUAUCUCUGAAUGAAGGUACUUAAAACUCAGCUGAUGAGAAAUGAUGAUUCCAGUGCCAGGAAGGUUACUGAUCAGUGAUCUUCAGUGGGAGUAAGGACAGCAGAACUUAAUAUAAGGCUGUUGGGUAGAGACCUCAUUAUGGGCUACAUCUUCUACAAACACAAGUUCAACCCAGAAGUCUGGAGAGUUUCCAACUUAGAAAAGUUAGAAGUUAUUUAAAGGAAAAUUAGUACAUUUACGUGUUACAGAAAACUCAUCACGUCGUGAGUUAGAAGUAAGGUUUGUACGCAGCUCUCCCACAGAAACUGUCCCCUUGCAGUCAAGCCUUUGAUUCUAGUUCUGCUUUUACCCAACUCAGUGAAUGUCUGAGAUCCAUCACAUUCUGCCUUUGGUCCCUGAGAAGUUUUCCAUCACCCUUACGACAAAGCUAGCUGCUGCCUGCUCAUCUCUUCAGUCUCCCCAACCUGACACAUCCAGCGGGACCAACAGCUCCCCAGCUUUUCAGGUUGGCUAUCAGAGAAAACUUCUCUGAUAGAGUGGUCAGGCACUAGAACGGGCUGCCUAGGGAUGUGGUGGAGUCAUGGCUCCUGGAGAUGUCCAAGAACAGGAUAGAUGUGGGACAUGGUUAGUGGGCAUCGUGGGGAUGGGUUGACGGUUGGACUUGAUGACCUUAAAGGUCUUUUUCAACCUUAAUGAUUCUGUGAGUCUGAGAAAAAGUCUUAUUCUUCCACAUGGCUCCAAUUUCACUUGCCAAUGAUCCCUUAAAUGAACAUAAAAAAUUGUGAGAAAAAAAGGACAAGUAAUUUUCCUUGUGGUUAUAUUUUUUAAUUUAUGCUUCCACAAGCUAAAAAACUUGAUUUCAAGUUAUUGACAGUACCCAAAACCACCCAUUUCCUUGAAAUAUCUCAGGAAAAAACUGUUGCCAGCUUUUUCAUUAAGACACAAUGUACCUCUAAGAAUAGACUUCACCCUGGUUUCUCAUUACUUAAAAAAAAGGGUUAUUUUUGUAAUGUCCCUUCUUGCUUUUGUCUUUUACAGAAAUCAUGAUCAUUUUUCUCUAUAUACAGCAAAUUGCUGUACAUGGUGGUAUUAGCCCCCGUGGUGAUCUCUUGUGCUAGCUCAUAGUUUGAUAGCAGAGGCUGUAAAGAUAGAAGGAACAUAUUAAGUACUUACUUUAUUUCCCUGCACAUCUCAGGUCUGCAUGCUAUUAGAACAGCUGGCACUAUUAGAAUUUUCAUUCCUCUCUGCACACUGCCCAGAAAACUUGUUUACUGCUAGAUGUGAAUCACUACCUCAUUUACAUGUGAGCUAAUAUUUAUGGAACCACCCAUAUGUAUCAGAUAAUCAAGAUGUUCUAUAUAAAGCCUCCUGAUGGAACAAGCAAGGUAGAAGAGGAAAAUCAAAGCUGUUGCACACAUUCUUUAAUAUAGUUAUAGUACUUCAAACAGAAUAAAACUUACUCAGAUAAAUACAAAUCUUGUAGUGAAGUCGACAAAAGAGAAGAGCACAUGACUAGUGGCAAAGAGCUAUAAAAGUCAUUGUGCCUUUAACUUUGUAACUGAAGACUUUUACCCUUAUCUUUGCAAAAGGUUCAGUUCUGUGUAGUCACACUCUUCACAAAUGAUUUCAAAUUGUUGCAUCAUUUUCAUCAUAUGUUGUUACCUAUGACCAAGAAAGGCAACUUCUGAAUUUCAGGAAAGAUAUUUCUGCAUGAACAUCCUUAGACUCAUUUCAUAAGAGUCUUUACAGUCAAAGGGCUGAAAAGGAGAUCCUUCCACUUCUGCCUGUUUUUUUGUUUGUUUGUUUGUUUGUUUGUUUUGUUUUGAUGAUAAAGUGGUCUAGUCCUCUUUCUUAUUCUUCAAGGAGCCAUAACAUGUGAUAUUUAUUAUGAGAGUAAAUACUGCCUCAAGUUUGUGACCUAACACCAGUUUGAACUCACGAUUCAAAUUAAGCUGGCAGAACCAAAGUGUGUUAUCAGCGUUUCUAGUGGCUGACUUGAUGCUCAGAUCCAUUUAAAAGCAGGUAGCUCACUCCUCCCUCUUUCUCUGCAAUCUCUCCUCCUGUCUCCCUAACAUACUGUUUAGAUUUAAAGCGUGCCCACUGCAUUACCGGCAGCAACCUCCCCAUGAAAUUCUGCAAUGAUAUUACUAAGAAUCAAGUGUCUCAGUGUAACUGAGUAAACCUGGAAUGAGAGAUCUUGCAGCCUGAGUGUGUCAAGCUUGGCAAAAGUAGUACAAUCCUUCUGAAGAAAUUGGCUUCCCAAUGCAACAUGAAAAAACGAAAUCUUGGCCUUCCAGCCAAAAGAAAUUAUCCUCUCCUUACAAAAAGUAGAGACCGUUUGGAAAAAAAAAAACUGCACUGAGAACUACAUUAUGUUGCUCAUAUGUCGUAGACUCAGUCUGUGUAAUUCCACUCCUCGGUCUUAGUUGUAUGAGGAGUUUGUAGCAGAAAGACAGAGACAUACGUACACUAUCAACUGCAGAUUAAGUGGGAUGUUCUGUUUAAAAAGUUGGCACAAAUGUUUCUGAUAAAGUGUUUCAAACUUAAGAGCAAUAUUAAAAAUAAUAUCAGAUUUCUUUUUGAGAAAUAGGAUACUUCCCUUAUGCAAUUUACAAGGAUUUUCACAAAUAAAAAUGUUUUUUUUCCUAAGAAAAUUAUUCUAGAAAAUUCAAAGACAAUCUUUGGUAAAUUUUUGCUCCUUUAGAAGGUUGUGAAAACACAUUACCAGCAGUAUGAGUAGUCUUGCUUUAAAUGCAGUAUAAUGACCACAAAUACUUCCUGGUUCAGUUCAAGAAAAUAUACUCUGGGCAAAUAAAAUUUGGUAUCAGCAUACAUAGGCUACACCACACUAUCAUACCCAUCUGAUAUGGAUUUGCAUUUUUGUGAUUUAUGUUAGGAGAUAUUUCUGAUAGCCCCUUUCAAAAACAGAGAAGUGUUCCCAGCAUUGUCUUAUUCCUUUGAAUCUUGAAGUGAAUCCAAUCUCACUUAUGGAAACUCUUUUUGUGUUCUUGACAGGAAGAAAUACACUAUUCAAAUGUCUCCACAAUGCCCUGUUUGGCAAAAAUGUGAAUUAACAUUUACUUACCUCUGGCUAUAGGGCUCCUUUGAAAUAUCUGGAUGAUGCCCCAGGAAUCAAGAGACCCCAAAAUCACUUCUGAAAGCUCAUACAAUGUUAGGCUUUGGUAGGAGCAAACCAAAGAUAGUUUGGAAUGUGGGGGAAAAAUGCAACAAGCCAGUUUCAAGAAAAGGCAUUCAUGUAAAUGUGGUGUAGUUGGAAAUCUCCUGCUAGUUAUCGAACUAUUAUUCCCCAUUAAUACAUAUGUGGGACCAUGAUCAAUUGCAGUUAUCUUUUCCUGUCACCUCCAGGUUAUCCUGCAUCUGCACACUUCAUGGUUCCCUUCUUACAUGCACACAGUACAUAACAGCAAAAGAAUGUCUUCCACCUUCCCAUUGUUUUUCAGCCUCUACAGCACAGUCACAAGAUUCCUGUCCAGAUCUUAUAUCUCUUCCCACUCCAGAAUGACACAACUUCCACACACUUUGGUAGUAAAAGGCCUGUUUGUUAGAAUACCUUUUAUUUGCUACCUUCCAUUAUUUACUGUGCAUGACAAGGUCACUUAUGAAGCCUAGUAUCUGUGCGAAGAUGUAACAGAACAAUCCCUAUGGCCAAGAACAGGUUACAGUGUGAGUAACUCCUCUUCAAGUUGACUAAAUUAGAAAAUCUAUAUGGAAAGGAAUAAAAAACAUCUGCUUUGCUUUUCUUUUUUGAUUUUAAUUUUAGUGUAUUGAUAUUGCCUGUAUCUCUGUGAGCUAGAUAAGUUAUUUACAGACUCAGAAAGAGCACCAUUGCUUGUUGGAUUGAGCAAUGGAAAGAAUGCCUCUGCCAUUUAGGAAUUUGCUGCCAUAUUGAUAGCUUUCUUCUGCAACAUAGACUUUAAUUGUAGUGACUCCUUCAAAUACUUUUCCUGUAAUUCCUUCUGUUAUUUUUUUUUUCUUUCAAGUUAUUUUUAGAUGAAUCAAAGCUUUCUGCUUUUCUGAAGCUUUCAGUGACUUCAGGACAUCCACUCCUUUCAGGACUUGACAGCCUACACCUUGCAAAGACACAAAGGAACACACUUUGCAAUUAAAGCAAUGAAAGUUAGAAGACUCACUGCCCACAGCCUGUGUUUGAAGAAAGCCCUUACAUUGCAGUACUUCUGUUUCCUGUAUCCCUUCCAUACCAAGGUUCCCUAAGCAGAGCAUAAAGCAGGGGGCCUCAUAGGGGACCCUACUCAAGCCAAGUUCCUAGCAAACAUCACAGAUCUGGCUAGUGCUAGCCCAUAGGACUGCAAGGACAAGCACUGCCUGAAGCAAUGAUAAAAAUGUUUGCUCUAUACCUUUGUUCUAUUCUGUAUACUGAACAAAAUACCUUGGAGCUGGGGAAAUUGCAUGUCAGUGCUGACAUUUAUUCUAGAUCCAAAAUAAAUUACAUACAGGACUUUUUGGUAUCUGGCUGUGCAUACCUGUCUACACAUAUAUUCUGAAGAAAAUGAGCAGGGUUAGCAGAACAGCCUGCAGCAUUUUCACCCACUGCCUAGAGGCACAAGUGAUCUAUUCCGAAGCCCACACAGGGCUUCUAGGUGUCAUUAGGCUUAGGAUAUUGCUGACAGGGUUUUCAGGUCAAGUAAUCAGUUUUGGAUGUAGGCAGAGUGUAGACACCUGGAUGCUAUUUAAAGUGCUGAAGACUUUAUUUACAAGUCAUGUACAAAUUCUUCCUGUGAGCACUCCUCAGUUCCCAGCAACGCUUCCGGAAACAUGAAAUGGGUGAGUGCUUAUGGGCAUCUAUAUGCUAAGAUAAAGCAUAAUUAUUCGUAUUUACAUGGAGCAUGGAAAAAGGUAUCAUACAGAGAGGGGAAAGAGAAGCAUUCCUUGUGUAUAAAAGUCUCAGGAACAACAAAAAGUCACACUGCUAUACUAUUUGCAUGAGAAUUGAAAAUCCUCAUCAAUUUAAAGGAAGUCUGAAAUACUCAUAGAUUGUUGGCUAGGAUACAGACUGGUAAAGUUCCUCCAAAAGUGCUUCAUUACUUAUGUGGGUGUGGAGCAAGUGUUAUAAUUCUUCAGCUAUAGUUAUGUUGCUUUAUUACUUUCUAAAGCAAGGAGUUAUUUUUAAAUUGAAUUAAAAAUUGCUACUGAUGCAAUUAUUCAGUGGAUACUCUCCAAAAGAGAAUUUCUGUAGUUAUCUCGGGUCAGAAUAACAUGAUGAAUCAGCAGGCAAACAACACCAGAUUAAAUUCAAUUAAUUCCUUUUUGAUGUUCAUUCACCCACUAAGACAGGCUUUGCACCUUUCCCUCGUGAUUCCCUGCUGAUGUUCAAGCUCUCUGAAAUGUAAAGAAAUCUAAAUGUAAUAUAAUUUAAUUCAGAGCCAGAAAAGUGGAGCUUUAAAAGGAAAACAAAACUAAACUAAACUAAGAAAUGCUUUAAGUAGUUUACUGUUCACUGAGGCACAAAUAUCUCACCAGUCUUGGUAACUCCUACCUUUCUCCAGAGCUACCACUCAUAUCAUGGAUAGAGUAUAGCAAAGGUGAUACCGAUGGUGGUGGUAUCAAGCUGCCUUACUUGUUUAAUCCUUACGAUAUUUGGAAAGGUGGAAACACACUUGUCUAUGUCACAUCUGGUUCUACUUCUGCCUGUAAGCAGUCAGCUUCCUUCCUAAAGUGAGGACUUAAAUGAGGCAGAGAUUCCUGAAAAAUACGUUAACGUCAGAUCACUGCAAUAAAGAUCUGUGAAGGUUUUUGUGUUGUGAAAUAAAAGGGAGAUAAAAAAACCAAAUAGUCCAUAACUUGAUAUUGUUAUAGACUUUCUCUCAUGAUCACUCCACAGUUCAGUUCUCUGUAGAUAACAGUAUGACCUGUUCAGACUGGCCUCUCCUUGUGCACGCUGUACAAAGUCAGAGAUCUGCAUAUUAGCAUGUUUGCAGUCUUAACAUUUAUACAGCUUAGAGCAGAAGCAACCUAAAAAAGCACAAGCAGCUCUUUUCAGACAAAAGACAGGUUGUGUUUGAAUCUCAAACCCUUGCCCUCAAGAACACUCUUCUCAAAUAUGUAUCCUAUUUGGGAACCUGUGGUUAGACACAGACAGGGUAAAAAACUUGAUGUGGUGCCUAGCCCUGGCACGAUGCUGCUGCUAUGAAAGAGGUGAGCCUUGCAUUUGCUGUCCUGCAGGCCUCUGUCAACCAGCUGCUUAUAAACACAAGUGAUACAUUUUGCUGACACUUUGCUACCUGUAUAAACAAAUAAAUAAAAGCAGGAGAGAAGGAAAGACCAGUAAAAGGCAUCCUUCGAGACAUUUCUGUAUUAUUUCAGGCAAUGGUAUGCUCCUUUGGGACAGGCAGUGUGGGAUGCGUCUGACCAGGGAAAAAAUGUUUUGUGCAACAGAAUCAAACCGGUCCACUUGUAGUCUCCAUGUUAAUCUGCAUCUUCCUGCAAAUUCAGGUGAAAAAUGUGUCUGUUCCUGAGGGCUGGCAGCACAAUCUCUGCAUGUGCAGUAGGCCUGCCAGCUGCUGGCAUUCAGUGACAUGAGCCAAUAGCUUAUAUCUCUGCAAGUGAAACAAAUCCAAUUGGAAUUUACUCAUUUCAUCCUAUUUGGAUGGGCUUUAAAUUCUUUUUACCAGCCACAUUUGUUUGUCCAACAAACCGUACUAUCUCUCCAUAAAAACUUUGCCAAACUUUUUGUUUUAGAUUAAUUCAAUAGUAACAUUCUUUCAGCUGUUUACAUUUGAGUGAUAUCUGCUUUGGGAAUAACCCAGGGGUUUAAUAAUGAAAACUUGAAAACAUUCAACUUCUCUGCUGUCUCUGCACUGCCUAAAACAGCUGUAUCUUUCCCUUCAGGAGAGAUGCUACCAGAUGACAAAGGCUUCCCAAACUCUCCCAAGAAGCCAGGUGGAAGUCCUGUUCGUAGUUAUUUGGAAAAAAAAAGUUCAGUUUUACCAGAUCUUGUCCCUUCUCUCUAAGCAGGAGACAACAGGACUACUAAAUUUUGCUACAAGGUUUAAGUGUAUGUAAUGGCACACAGGGCAGUGGCCAUGUUGAAACCACAGUGAAUUUCAUUCAGUUGUCCCCUGCUUCUGGAUUUCCUGGUUCAUCUCAUAUUUGUAUUCUUUGCACUGGGACUAUAAAGGCUCUAUCACCAGAGAUCUUCUCCUAGGUAACAUAAAACAUGCGAGUGUUUUCAUCAUACCCAUGGAAAAUGGUCCCUGUGAAAGUAGCCUCUCAUGUAUUAUAGUUUGCUAACUCCUAUCCCACUACUUUACCUAGAGGUACUCUGUAUUUCAGAGGUAUGUCUCUCUCUGAUUUGUUAAAACUUUCCUAACUACACAUAGAUGUAAGAACAACAGCAGGUAAGCUGGAAGCACUAACUUACAGUGGCGACAUUUCAUCGUUCACAUUUAUUUUCAUCACCACUCCUUGGUUUGCGCAUUUUCCACAUAGUCACCAUUCAAAGACUACUGAACCUCUCAAGUUCAUCUUCGGUCUGUCUGAGCACUUUCACAGCAGUUUAAGAUUAUUUAUUUUUAAAUACGAUUGCAAAUCAUGGAUUUUAAAAAUUCUUUGUUGUCAAAUGGUGAAGACAUUUUGCUAAUGAAUUGCUGACUUGUCUCCUUCUCUUUACAGUGUCACCUAUCUUAACCAGUAAAUGGAUGUGAAUUACAGAGGUUAGAGCAUCCUGAUGGAUUGAUAGAAUUUUGAUUUCAAGUAGGAAGUAGAUAAGGGUAUAAUGAAUUAUGAAGAUAUCGUGUUCAACAAACAUUCAGUAGCAUAGGUAGGAAUAGACAAGAGGAGAACGAUUCUAGUUUAAAGCAGUAAAUGAAAACCAGUCAUUCAUAAUAGGUGAUGUUCUGUUCAAAAUACACAGCUCUAUCUCUUGUAAGUUUUUAUUUGAGAGGAGGAAUAUAAAAGGAAGAAAAAAGUGAGAGACCUGCUCAUCCCCAUGACCAGCCCAGCCAAAGCUUUGCUCAGCACACAGCAGUCAGCUCAGAUGUUAAGCUAAGCAAUGACAAGGAAGAAAAAUGAAUUAUUCCAUUGCUGCUAUGUGAAUCAGCCGCACAUCCUUAUUUGGGUAAGAGAGAUUAAUUACGUUAACCUGUCUUAAGGAGGUUAUUAGAAAUAGAGAUGGAGAGCUCAGACACGAGCAUCAACAACGAUCAAUGCAUGAAAACAUUUUAUGCUGCAAGUGUGGAAAAAUGAAAUGACCUAUCUCAAAAAUGUCAAGGUGAGACAAAUAGAAUAACGCUGGGAAGGAAGAUAACUCUACUUGUAUUUUCUUACAAUACUGGAAUUAAGUUAAAAGAUGGCAAAUAUCAAAGCAAAAACAACAAUAACAAAACCCUUUGAUGCUGUCAAAAUCUGUCUAUAGAUUUCAUUGCUAUAAGAUGUUUUGCAGUAUUCACGUAACUGCCAGGCAAGCAGAAUUCACAAAGUAGAGAACAUCAGAGCAGGGAAUUCUUACAAGAAAUUAAAGUCCUGAAAUGAAUAGAAACUGACCUGAAAUGAAUGAAACAACCUCUGGCUAUUGUUGGGCUCUUUUGAAAGGCUGUUUCUCUGCAGAAACUCAGUGCAGAGUCCUUUCCAAAAACUUUCUGAAGUAGACAACAGCCAAGGCAACUGUUUGAUAUUGGACUCUGAUAAAGUCCUAGGGUAUAGUUAAGUUCUUUGCUUUCUGCUAGCUGUGCUGAGUUCUAAGGAAAACAGCCUCCCUCUAGAUGCUAAAAUGCCCAGCACAGGACUUAGGCUGUGCAAAAGGGAAGUUACAGGCUGCAUCUGAUUUCAGAUUGGACCUGUGGGAAUUAAAGGAAUAUAUGAGCCUUCCUCUGCAGAGGAGAGCUUAGACAUGGGCAUAUGUGAGAUCUCAGGGAUGGCCAGAAAUCAACAGAAAUACCUAAGUUCCUCCUGCAGCCUAUCUACACCUUCUUAUUGCUCCAAUGCUUGCCUGGACUAGUUUUUGGAAGAAGCUGGCUGUCCAUGAGGAUAUUCUGUUUGUUGUUUUAAGGGGAACUGAAAAUAUAUAUAGAGAGAAGCAAAUACUUCAGACCAAUUUUUACUUCAGUCACAAGAUUACUUGUUCAAAACAGUUCUGCUACUUGAAACUCAGCUAUUCCCAGGUUGUACCAGAACAACGGUAAAAACCUAAUGAGCUGUAAUUCCUGAGCCAGCUCUGACCUGGUGAAACUCCACCAAACCCCUGUGAGUCACAGCAGCACCGACCUCAGAAACAGCUCAGCUCCAGCCUUGCUAUAAUGCAGUUGAAGACACGCGUUGCACAUGUUAAAGCAGCAACAGAUGCCCGCUUGCUUUAUUUGUAGGCAGCCACAGAAACCACACACAGCUAUAAGGCUGACCUCCCAGGCUCUGUGAGGAGAGCAGCAUGGCUAAGUAGGGGCUAACGGGGCACCCAGCUCCUGCAAACAAGAGGCUGCAGGGCUCGCACUGCACUUCGGGCCCAUCAAGAGCCCCUUCCUUCCUCGGGAAAAAGUGGGGGGCUGAGCAUCCCCAGCAUGGCUGGAGCAGGGGUCGCUCACCUGU